rnacentral:misc_RNA from 1 species
AAGAGUUAUGUAUCUUCGGGUACUAUCUCCAACCAAUUGUGAACUUACUUUGUUGCCUCGACAUCCGAUAGGUACCCAAUCGGUGUACCUAUCCUUCGGUUACUUUGUACCUGAAGAGUGAUGUCUGAGGAUUUUAAACUUCUUUUAAUUAAGUUUUCUGAGUUAAACAAAAUAAAAACA